rnacentral:rRNA from 1 species
CAGCAGCCGCGGUAAUACGUAGGGAGCGAGCGUUGUCCGGAAUCAUUGGGCGUAAAGAGCUCGUAGGCGGCUUGGUAAGUCGGAUGUGAAACCUCCAGGCUCAACCUGGAGUCGCCAUCCGAUACUGCCAUAGCUAGAGUCCGGUAGGGGCCCACGGAACUCCUGGUGUAGCGGUGAAAUGCGCAGAUAUCAGGAAGAACACCGGUGGCGAAGGCGGUGGGCUGGGCCGGCACUGACGCUGAGGAGCGAAAGCGUGGGGAGCGAACAGGAUUAGAUACCCGAGUAGUCCCUGUCUCUUAUA